rnacentral:rRNA from 1 species
CCUACGGGAGGCUGCAGUGGGGAAUAUUGGACAAUGGGCGAAAGCCUGAUCCAGCCAUGCCGCGUGUGUGAAGAAGGCCUUCGGGUUGUAAAGCACUUUCAGUGGGGAAGAAAGCCUUGGGGCUAAUACCCUCGAGGAAGGACAUCACCCACAAGAAGCACCGGCUAACUCCGUGCCAGCAGCCGCGGUAAUACGGAGGGUGCGAGCGUUAAUCGGAAUUACUGGGCGUAAAGCGCGCGUAGGCGGUCUGAUAAGCCGGUUGUGAAAGCCCCGGGCUCAACCUGGGAACGGCAUCCGGAACUGUCAGGCUAGAGUGCAGGAGAGGAAGGUAGAAUUCCCGGUGUAGCGGUGAAAUGCGUAGAGAUCGGGAGGAAUACCAGUGGCGAAGGCGGCCUUCUGGACUGACACUGACGCUGAGGUGCGAAAGCGUGGGUAGCAAACAGGAUUAGAUACCCCAGUAGUC